rnacentral:rRNA from 1 species
AGUAACACGUGGAUAACCUACCUAUAAGACUGGGAUAACUUCGGGAAACCGGAGCUAAUACCGGAUAAUAUUUUGAACCGCAUGGUUCAAAAGUGAAAGACGGUCUUGCUGUCACUUAUAGAUGGAUCCGCGCUGCAUUAGCUAGUUGGUAAGGUAACGGCUUACCAAGGCAACGAUGCAUAGCAGACCUGAGAGGGUGAUCGGCCACACUGGAACUGAGACACGGUCCAG